UGUGAUAUAGCACAAUGGCUAGUGCAGAGGGUUGUGAACCCUUGUAUGGGAGUUCGAUUCUCCUUAUCACGC
rnacentral:tRNA from 1 species